ensembl:lncRNA
AUCCCAAACAGCCAGGCUGGGAUGGUGAACUAUAAUUUAUAUCAUUUUUCAUAUGGGUUAUAGGCUCCAAAGGCUUAGACUCCUUCAAAUGGGAACCACAUUGAAGAAGGGGUAAACCAAUGUUAAGAAAUCUGGUCCCAGGAAGCCACCUGCUUCUCAUUUGGGAUGUUCCUGGGUUUAUUGUUUGUUUCCAAGGCCCAGCUGGAUUUGAGAGAUGGCAGGGCAGCCAUGGAUCACUGCCCUUGCCAGGCGUCCAUGCUGAGGCUGGGGUGAGCCUCCACUCUGAGUGCUCGGAGCCUCUGGCGUGCCUGCACGUGGAGCUCUGUGGGGGAAGCUGUGUGGGAGCACGCUCUCUUUGUACUCGCAUGUCCCCAUGGAGCAAAGCCAGCUGGAGACAACCGAGUCUGAGCAAAGCCCCACGGCCUGUGGGAGGCCUGGUGCCCCAGGCUGGUUCGGGGGAGCAGGAUCUCUGCGCCUCCCCCAGCCACUGCUUCUUGCAAACUGAGAGGCAGGGCAGCAAACAGCCCAGGAAGCUGGCUGCAGUGAAGAUGAAUGAACCGAAGCUCCUCACGACAACAUGGAUGGAUCUUAAGCACAUGGUGUUGAGUGAAAGAAUACAAAUGAUGGACUCCAUUCAUACAUGGUCCCAAACCAGGAAUCCCAGAGAUCCCCAGCAUGCAAAGCAGAGGGAUUAGAAAUGGCUUGGAUCAUACAAACUGAGGCUUGAAUCUGGUUAACCAGCUGUGUGACUUUUGGUGCCCUGGUGACUAUGAGCCAGGGUGGGACCUCUGGCAUCUGAUGUCUACCCAGGCUCUGUGCUGACACCAGCUUACAGGACACCCCCAGCUCAGUAUGCUUGCCUCUGGAGUUAAUUUCCUUUCUCAAAUCAGAUUAACUUCAAAGUUUUUAUUCAUUCUUUUAAAUUGACUUAAUGAUUCAUUCUUCCUAAUUAACAGAUAUUGGAAAAGAAAAGAAACAGUAUGGUU